ACGCUGCUGGCCUUAACUUGACCUCUGAUGAUGACUUCUUCUCACAUCCAACUCUUAGAAGCUACUACAAGGCCCAUGUUAAGGCAAGUUCCUGUAAAUAAUAAAAAAAAAAACAGGUCAAAACCACCAUUGUUUGUUUCAUCUGGACACUUGAAUUGAAGCCUGUUUGUUAUAUAUUGCAAAACUAAAACUACCCUGUAAUCAUAUCUUGAUAUGGACUGCUUUGUUUUAUUCUGUAAUUGUUUUUCUUUAUGAUUAUGCUAAGCUGGUUCCAGUAUUAUUUUCACUGUGUAGACUGUGCUCAAAAGAGUUAACACAUUCACAAAUAUCACAUACAAGGAGGAUCCAACAAUUUUUGCUUGGGAAUUGAUGAAUGAGCCUCGUUGCACCUCAGAUCCCACAGGUGACAAGUUACAGGUUUAUCCCUUUCUUUUGGCUUCCAUAUCACAAAAAAGGGUCUAGAGGUAUUGAUUGAAAAGAAAAUAUAGACACACUCCGUGAUGUCAUAUAAUCACAUUGCACUACACCAUUGCAUUCUAAUUAAUGGCAAGUUCUUUCCAUGAUGUCACAUAGUUCACUGAACCCAACUGCUCACUUGAAUGUGUAUUCUAGGAUUGGAUUGAAGAAAUGGCAUUCCAAUUGAAGAAAAUUGAUCCAAAACACCUAGUAGAGGUUGGACUAGAAGGAUUUUAUGGUCCAUCAACACCUCAGAGAACUCAGUUCAAUCCCAAUACAUAUGCUACACAGGUUGGAACUGAUUUUAUAAGGAAUCACCUGGCUCUUGGUGUGGACUUCGCUUCUGUUCAUAUAUAUCCUGAGUAUUGGUAAGUCUGUUCAGAAUUGCUAUUGUUUUAUUAAAAAAAUAUGAAGUUUUCAUAAAACUUACUAUACAUGACAUCCUGUGAUUGGAUGACAGUUAUACUGUCAAUGCAUUUAAAUUAAAUUCUUAUACGAACUGUUUAUAUCAGUAUUACAUUCAUAUGCAUGCACAUUUGCCUAGUGUAUCAGAAAUACUGAUUGUUGUUAGUGAUUUAUUUUGACAUACAUAUACUACAGUUCUAACUGAAUCAGCUAUCUGGUUGAAGGAUUUCACAACAAAUUGCUGAUUCUCAUCUCUCAUUUGUAAAAUCAUGGAUGGAAGCCCACAUAGAUGAUGCUGAAAAGCAUCUUGGAAUGCCAGUUGUUUUUGCUGAGUUUGGUGUAUCUUCCAAAGACCCUGGCUACAAUUCAUCAUACAGAGAUACACUCAUAAGUAGUGUGUACAAUACCAUCCUAAACUCCACAAAGAAAGGAGGGAGUGGGGCUGGAAGCCUUUUGUGGCAAUUUUUUCCUGAUGGAACUGAUAACAUGGAUGAUGGCUAUGCAAUUGUUCUCUCAAAAUCUCCCUCCACCGCAAACAUUAUACAGCUUCAAUCCACUAGGCUUGCGAUGUUCAAUUCCAUGUGCAAUACUAAAUGCAAUUGGGGAUGUAAGAAAAACUUGUUGAACAACAUACUCAAUUACGUUGACCUAUAACACAAUGUGUGGAAAGUUUCCAAUUGUAAUGCUGUGGUCCUAUAAAACCAUGCAUGGAUAAAUAUGUGAUUUACCAUAACUUCUGUAAUGAACAAUGCUUUAAUUUGUAUAUUGUGGCAUUAUGGUCACGUAACAAUUGUAAAUUGGAAUAUAAUGAACAAUAGUUUCGUACAAGAACAAUGGUUGAUUGGAAGUGUCAAAAUAAAUUGAAUAAAUAAACCAUCCAAUCUUGAAAGUAAAUAUCAUGGAUAAGUAAAAAAAAUCUUUACUUAUCAUAAAAAAAACAAUAGAUUGUCUCUUCCUCCAGUUUUAUACUUUUUGUACUCAUUGGUAUUACUCGUCAUCUCCUGCCAAACUCUGAAUAAAAAAUCAUGAAAAGAGGCUUGUUAAGCCUUUGUAAGCCAUUGAGUACUCCUUCCUGAAUUUGAAUAAGCCAUUGAUUUUGAGAGAGGAGAUAUGUCAUAUUAUAUAGGCAAACAGAUAACAAGGAAGGCAUGUAUGAAUUUAGACCACCAACAUGCUAGGCAGCUAUGAUAGCUUUUUUCUUUCAGAUCUUCUGGAGGUUCUCAGGCUUAAACAUAGAAAAUAUGGAAGAAAAUCUGCGAAUUUCUGCUUGUAAAUUUACAAAUUAGUCGGCCUUUAGAUGGGAUGCCAUUAUAUACAUAUCAUAGGAGCUCCUCCGGAAGAAAACAGACGUUCUUUAAUAAAAUUGCCACUGAGAACUUCAAUUAACAGUGAUGUGGGUUGUGCUCACCAAAAGAGCAAAAACAAAUAGGUAUACUAUCCCUGCAUAUUAUCAGUUUAAUCAGAAGAGGUGUUACAGACCAAUAUUAUAGUGGUAAAAGGAAAAGCAGAAAAUAUGAAGGCACUACAGAAUUGUAUGUUAUUUGCAAUUUAAAGGAAACUACAGAAGGAGGAAACCUCUAAUUGCCCAUAGCAUAGCUCCUCUAACAGAAAAUCAGAUCAUAAUCCCCUGUCCCCUCUGCCUCAUGAGACACUAACAAAAAUAUUCUCCCACAUCUAACCACCUCCCACUAUUUAUGCCAGCUCCAGUUAGUAACAACGUCUGCACUUACUCAUGCUACCUCAGCUUGAAGAUUUCCCUUUUUCUUUUGUGCACAUACCUUAGGUGUCUCAUGCCCUCAUGGACCAAUGGCUCUUUCGGCUCAUAAACUUGUUGUGCUUCAACAAAAAGCCAAUAGAAACACAUAAUCUUAGAUUUGACACUACUUUUGUUAACGAACACAUUGUACUGCACACUUUUUGUUAAGUCAAAUUAGAAAAUAGAGAAAAGAAAGUUGUAUUUACUGAUUUCAAAAGAACGAACAACAAAGGAGAUAGUUCUCUCCGUUUUAAGGAUUUAUCCUUUCACAAAGAGCAAUUGCUUACUCUAUAUGUGAUACUGAUCUCAUUAUCCCUUCCUUGAAUCCUACUCCUAUCUACUUACUUCAG
rnacentral:lncRNA from 1 species